rnacentral:rRNA from 1 species
UACGAAGGGGGCUAGCGUUGUUCGGAAUUACUGGGCGUAAAGCGUACGUAGGCGGAUUGUUAAGUGAGGGGUGAAAUCCCGAGGCUCAACCUCGGAACUGCCUUUCAUACUGGCAAUCUUGAGUCCGGGAGAGGUGAGUGGAACUCCUAGUGUAGAGGUGGAAUUCGUAGAUAUUAGGAAGAACACCAGUGGCGAAGGCGGCUCACUGGUCCGGUACUGACGCUGAGGUGCGAAAGCGUGGGGAGCAAACAGG